rnacentral:rRNA from 1 species
AUUGAACGCUGGCGGCAGGCCUAACACAUGCAAGUCGAACGAGUGGCGGACGGGUGAGUAAUGUCUGGGAAACUGCCUGAUGGAGGGGGAUAACUACUGGAAACGGUAGCGAAUACCGCAUACCAUCAGAAGUGCCCAGAUGGGAUUAGCUGGGUGGUGGGGUAACGGCUCACCAAGGCGACGAUCCCUAGCUGGUCUGAGAGGAUGACCAGCCACACUGGCACUGAGGCACGGUCCAGACUCCUACGGGAGGCAGCGGUGGGGAAUAUUGCACAAUGGUCGCAAGCCUGAUGCAGCCAUGCCGGGUGUAUGAAGAAGGCCUUCGGGUUGUAAAGUACUUUCAGCGGGGAGGCGUUACCCGCAGAAGAAGCACCGGCUAACUCCGUGCCAGCAGCCGCGGUAAUUC